AGCUCCAAUAGCGUAUAUUAAAGUUGUUGCAGUUAAAAAGCUCGUAGUUGGAUUUCUGUUUGAAAUUGGUUCGGAGACAUUUGUCAACUUAUCGAUUCAGACAUUCUUCUACUCUUCAGUGGCAACACUGUUGCGGUAGAGCCUUUACUUUGAGAAAAUUAGAGUGUUUCAAGCAAGCUUUUGCUUUGAAUACUACAGCAUGGAAUAAUACGAUAGGACUUCGGACCUAUUUGUUGGUUUCUGGUCUGAAGUAAUGAUUAAUAGGGACAGUUGGGGGCACUCGUAUUCGAUCGUCAGCGGUGAAAUGCGUGGAUUGAUCGAAGACGAACUACUGCGAAAGCAUUUGCCAAAGAUGUUUUCA
rnacentral:rRNA from 1 species